CGGAGGAGCAUGUGGUUUAAUUCGAUGAUACGCGAGAACUACCUGGGCUCGAACGUAAGAUGACUGUAGGUGAAAGCUUACAUCUCUUCGGAGCAUUUUACGAGGUGCUGCAUGGUUGUCGUCAGCUCGUGCCGUGAGGUGUCGGGUUAAGUCCCAUAACGAGCGCAACCCUACCUUUAGUUGCCAUCAGGUAAUGCUGGGGACUCUAAAGGAACUGCCUACGCAAGUAGUGAGGAAGGCGGGGAUGACGUCAAAUCAGCACGGCCCUUACGUCCAGGGCUACACACGUGCUACAAUGGCCGAUACAGAGGGCAGCUACCUGGUGACAGGAUGCAAAUCUCCAAAGUCGGUCUCAGUUCGGAUCGGAGUCUGCAACCCGACUCCGUGAAGUUGGAUUCGCUAGUAAUCGCGCAUCAGCCAUGGCGCGGCGAAUACGUUCCCGGGCCUU
rnacentral:rRNA from 1 species